rnacentral:rRNA from 1 species
GACGAACGCUGGCGGCGUGCUUAACACAUGCAAGUCGAACGAUGAAGCCCAGCUUGCUGGGUGGAAGAGUGGCGAACGGGUGAGUAACACGUGAGUAACCUGCCCCGAACUCUGGGAUAAGCGCUGGAAACGGUGUCUAAUACUGGAUACGACCCAUACAGGCAUCUGUUGUGGGUGGAAAGAUUUAUUGGUUCGGGAUGGGCUCGCGGCCUAUCAGGUAGUUGGUGAGGUAACGGCUCACCAAGCCUACGACGGGUAGCCGGCCUGAGAGGGUGACCGGCCACACUGGGACUGAGACACGGCCCAGACUCCUACGGGAGGCUG